GAUGAACGCUGGCGGCGUGCCUAAUACAUGCAAGUCGAACGGAGAGGGGACGGGUGAGAAACACGUGUAUAACCCCCUAUAAGAAGGGGAUAACAUCCGGAAACCGGAGGUAAACCGGAGAAUUAUAGAAGGGUGCGUGCUGUAUUAGGUAGGUGGCAAGGUAACGGCGUACCAAGGCAACGAUUCAUAGCCGACCUGAGAGGGUGAUCGGCCACACUGGAACUGAGACACGGUCCAGACUCCUACGGGAGGAAGCAGUGGGGAAUCUUCCGCAAUGGGCUAAAGCAUGACGGAGCAACGCCGCGUGAGUGAAGAAGGUCUUCGGAUCGUAAAGCUCUUGUAUUAGGGAAGCGGUACCUAAACAGAAAGCCACGGCUAACUACGUGCCAGCAGCCGCGGUAAUAC
rnacentral:rRNA from 1 species